AUGAAGAAGGACCCAGACGGUGGAUUCAUUUCUGAUCCCGCUCUAUAUUUGAAACCUGGUCUCACCGUCUCACAGCUCUGUGAUUUCAGUUUAGCUCACUGUCAAUGCAAAGGAAAGAAGAGAAAAGAAAAGGCCCCAUGGUUCAUCAGGAGCAUCGUAACCAGAACCAUUCUUGGUUCCCUCUUCUGCAUCCUGGAGCAUCUCUCGGCCAUGAGUUUGGAUGAAGGAAGAGAAAAAGGGGAAUAUUUGUUCGAAUCUUUUUGGACUUCACAACACCCGAGGUCUUAUUUAUGCGUGGGUUUCCAGCUGUGCAUGACAUAA
rnacentral:lncRNA from 1 species